GACGAACGCUGGCGGCGUGCUUAACACAUGCAAGUCGAACGGAAAGGCCCUGCUUUUGUGGGGUGCUCGAGUGGCGAACGGGUGAGUAACACGUGAGUAACCUGCCCUUGACUUUGGGAUAACUUCAGGAAACUGGGGCUAAUACCGGAUAGGAGCUCCUGCUGCAUGGUGGGGGUUGGAAAGUUUCGGCGGUUGGGGAUGGACUCGCGGCUUAUCAGCUUGUUGGUGGGGUAGUGGCUUACCAAGUCUUUGACGGGUAGCCGGCCUGAGAGGGUGACCGGCCACAUUGGGACUGAGAUACGGCCCAGUCUCCUACGGGAGGCAGCAGGGGGGAAUAUGGCACAAUGGGCGGAAGCCUGAUGCAGCAACGCCGCGUGCGUGAUGACGUCCUUCGGGUUGUAAACCGCUUUCGCCUGUGACGAAGCGUGAGUGACGGUAAUGGGUAAAGAAGCACCGGCUAACUACGUG
rnacentral:rRNA from 1 species